rnacentral:snRNA from 1 species
AAGAGUUAUAGGUUACUUUAAAAUUUGUCCAGAUGGCAUGCCCAUUGGCAUGCCCAA